rnacentral:rRNA from 1 species
AGGUCUUGCCUGCCCAGUGACUAGUUAAACGGCCGCGGUAUUUUGACCGUGCGAAGGUAGCGCAAUCACUUGUCUUUUAAAUGAAGACCUGUAUGAAUGGCGGAACGAGGGCUUAACUGUCUCCCCUUUCAAGUCAAUGAAAUUGAUCUGCCCGUGCAGAAGCGGACAUAUAAAUACAAGACGAGAAGACCCUUUGGAGCUUAAGAUAUAAAAUCAACUACGUCAAGGGCACACAAGCCAAACUAAGUAGCACCUGAUAGGUAUCUUCGGUUGGGGCGACCACGGGAGAAAACAAAGCUCCCAUGAGGACUGGGGUUACACCCUAAAACCAAGAAAGACAUUUCUAAGUCACAGAACAUCUGACCAUAAAGAUCCGGCUACCCGCCGAUCAACGGACCAAGUUACCCUAGGGAUAACAGCGCAAUCCCCUUUCUGAGUCCAUAUCGACAAGGGGGUUUACGACCUCGAUGUUGGAUCAGGACAUCCUAUUGGUGCAGCCGCUAUUAAGGGUUCGUUUGUUCAACGAUUAAAGUCCUACGUG